rnacentral:rRNA from 1 species
GGUUGGGGAUAACUCGCUGAAAGGCGAGCUAAUACCGAAUGUGAAANUUGAGAGGCAUCUCUUGGUUUUUAAAGUUGGGGAUCGUACAGACCUGACGCUUCACUGCAUGCAGCCCGCGGUUCUAUCAGCUAAUUCGUGAGGUAACGGCUCACCAAGNGCUAANACGGAUAGCUGGUCUGAGAGGACGACCAGCCACACUGGAACUGAGACACGGUCCAGACACCUACGGGUGGNAUCAGUCGAGAAUUUUUCUCAAUGGAAACACAAAAGAUAACCCCUGUGGUAAUAUUGUUUGGCCCGUAAACCCCUGUCAUUUGCGAACAAACCUUACGUUUUAAUAGAACGUGAGCUGAUUGUAGUCGAAAGAGGAAGGGACGGCUAACAUCUGUGCCAGCAGACCGCGGUAAUACAGAGGUCCCAAGCUGUUGUUCGGAUUCACUGGGCGUNANGGGUGNAGUAGGUGUGAGGUAAGUUUGAUGUGAAAUCUCGGGGUUCACCGGGAAAUGCAAUUGAAUACUAAUCUGCUUCGAGGGAUGGAGGGGGGACUGGAAUAACUUGGUGUAUCCAUGAAAUGCGUAAAUUCAUGUUGGAACACCAGUGGCCAAGGCGAGUCCCUGGACCUUCCUGACACUUGAGGGCACGAAAGCUAGGGGGAGCAAAACAGGAUUAGAUACCCCUGGUAGUCCUAGCCCUAAAACUGUGCACGUUUGCUGUAAAAGGAAUCGACCCCUUUUGUGGCGAAGCUAACGCGUUAAACGUGCCGCCUGGGGAGUACGGUCGCAAGAUUAAAACUCAAAAGAAAUUGACGGGGGCCUGCACAAGCGGUGGAGUAUGUGGCUUAAUUCGAUGCAACGCGAAGAACCUUACCUGGCCUUGACAUGCAAGUGGUAGAACCCUGAAAGGGGGACGACCCCGCAAGGGGAGUUUGCACAGGUGCUGCAUGGCUGUCGUCAGCUCGUGUCGUGAGAUGUUGGGUUAAGUCCCGCAACGAGCGCAACCCCUGUGUCCUGUUGCCACCCGGCCGAGAGGCUGGAGCACUCUGGACAGACUGCCUCGCUUAAACGAGGAGGAAGGUGGGGAUGACGUCAAGUCAGGAUGGCCCUUACGGCCAGGGCUGCACACGUACUACAAUGCCCGGCACAAUGGGAAGCGAAACAGCGAUGUUAAGCAAAUCCCCUAAAACCGGGCCCAGUUCAGAUUGUAGGCUGCAACUCGCCUACAUGAAGCUGGAAUCGCUAGUAAUGGCGCAUCAGCUACGGCGCCGUGAAUACGUUCCCAGGCCUUGUACACACCGCCCGUCACAUCAUGAAAGCCGUUUGUACCCGAAGUCGUCGUGCUAACCGCAAGGAGGCAGACGCCGAAGGUAUGGAUGGUGAUUGGGAUGAAGUCGUUAACAAGGUAGCCGUAGGGGAACCUGCGGCUGGAUCACCUCCUU